UUACGGCCAUAUCUUGUUGAAACAUUGGUUCACUUACGAUCACCGAAGUUAAACAACGUGAAGCCUAGUCAGUACCAAGAUGGGUGACCGCUCAGGAAUACCAAUACUGCA